UAACCUGCCCAAGAGAUCGGGAUAACACCUGGAAACAGAUGCUAAUACCGGAUAAUAACAGAUGAUGCCUAUCAACUGUUUAAAAGAUGGUUCUGCUAUCACUCUUGGAUGGACCUGCGGUGCAUUAGCUAGUUGGUAGGGUAACGGCCUACCAAGGCGAUGAUGCAUAGCCGAGUUGAGAGACUGAUCGGCCACAUUGGGACUGAGACACGGCCCAAACUCCUACGGGAGGCAGCAGAG
rnacentral:rRNA from 1 species